AUGCAGAAUUCAAUCUCACUCACGGUUCUGCAAGGGAAACGAAACUCUACGAGGGAGAGUAAUAAAUCGGUAUCUCCUGCUCCUCGCCCACAUUUUAAAUCAGUGCAUAAAUCAUAUUUGUGUCGGUUUCCCUCACAUGCCAGCAGACCUUUUAAAAAAAAAAAAAAAACACACACAAAACCUUUUUUGCUGUACUUUCAGUGUCGGCUUCAGCUGGUGCUUGCAGGCAACCCCCUGGCUCUGCGCGUCUCCUUCAUCUGCGCCGACAUGUCCCAGGCUGGACCGCGCACCGACAGGCAUACAGAUAUACAAGGCAAACUAAAGGUUUCGAAUGCUAUUCAGUGCCUCCUCAUUUGUCCCGGAGCCUUAACAGUGGUGCCCUUUCUCUUCUGGCUGCUUUUCCCUGCUUCUGGAGCAGCAGUUAUGGGAGAAGCAGAUGGCUACUGAUUGGGUCUCGCACCUCAGCUGGAGGACUCGAGCUGUCUCCGUGAGCAGAGCCUGAGAUAAGCGAGGGCCAUGCAGUGGGUGACUCCUGCCUCAGCGCGAGCUGCCGGCGGUGGCUCACAGGGACUGU
rnacentral:lncRNA from 1 species